rnacentral:rRNA from 1 species
UACAGAGGAUGCAAGCGUUAUCCGGAAUCACUGGGCAUAAAGCGUCUGUAGGUGGUUUAGUAAGUCUGCUGUUAAAGACUGGGGCUCAACCCCAGAAAAGCAGUGGAAACUGCUAGACUUGAGUGUGGUAGAGGUAGAGGGAAUUCCUAGUGUAGCGGUGAAAUGCGUAGAUAUUAGGAAGAACACCAAUGGCGAAGGCACUCUACUGGGCCAUAACUGACACUGAGAGACGACAGCUAGGGGAGCAAAU